rnacentral:lncRNA from 1 species
GCUCUAGCCUGGAAGAAAAAGUCAGAAGUAUAUUUGUAGUAUCAUAGUAUCUUGGUGAAAUGAAUGAUGUAAAGAUUGUGCUAUUACAAGAGCUCUAACCUGGGACAACCUGAGAAGUAUAUUUGUAGUAUUUUGGCUAAUUGGCAUGUGUUUUGAUAAUUUUCACUUGUUUACUGUUCUCAUUGAAAUAAUUGUUUCAAAUUGUGGAAGUUGAAACCUGGGCCGUUGCUAAUUAGAACCUGAGAAGUGGGACCUAGUAGUAUUUGGCAUCAGAAAGGCCAUUUACCAAAUAAUAUUCACAGGAAAGGCUGAAAAUUAAGGAAACUGACUGAAAAAAGGCCGAGGCCCAAAAGAAAAAUAGAUGAGACCCAAAAAAGAAAUGGACCGUAGAAAGGCUAAGGCCCAAAACCACUGAACGAAGCUUAUGGAACAAAAAGACCGAAUUAUUGGGCUCGGCCCGCGUAAAACAAUGAAUCGGACCGGGCUGAAUCUUACCUGUGACCUUUUGAAUUGGUCACAAUUUUGCCACGUCAGCUCGCCACGUUGGAUCCGACGUGGCCUGGGCAGACAUCCAGUGACCAAAACAAAAGGUCAUAGCUUCAGCGACCUUCUGUUUUGGUUGUAAAUGUCUACACGACCUUCUCACAGAGAAGGUCGCUAUAGUCAGUUUAUGACCGUCAGCUUUUGACCUUCUGUUUUUGGUCACAAAAAGGUUGCGAAUGAAAAACUAUGACCCUUAAGUGACCAAUAGUGGAGGUCACAAGAUAGCAUAUUUCUUGUAGUGACUACCUUAUCUCUUCAACACCUAGCUCAAGAACCAUGUAUAGAAUCACACCGUCAGAAUCCCCUCCCCUCCCCUCCCCUCCCGUGUCGCUUCGGAGGGCGAUACAUAGUGCCGCCAGCCUCCUCCCCCAUCUCCAACACCCCUCAACGCCGCUGCCGCAGGCCUUCGCCGGGGCGGCAGCGGGCCCAGCUGCCGAAGGUAGUCUGGGAUGGAUGGGCGAUGGAUGCGACCACGGGAGCUACUAGGGCGGCGAUGGGGGAUCUUCGAUGCGAGGUGACCAGGGCGGCGCUCCUGCAUUGGGGUGGUGGCGGUGAGCUUCCUGGGUGGCAAGGAUCCGGUGAAGGAGGCGCUAUUCGUUGGCUUCGGGGGAACCUCACAGAAAACCUGUGUCAUGGACGAACCUCUCUGCCGCCUUGUUGCCUCCAGGAGAUCGAGGCGCAACAUUUCGCGUCCCUAGUAGCCGGGGCCAUGGUGUUAGCUAGAGAGGUGAGGCAGAGGCAUGCUACUCAACAUCCGUGCAGCGACGCUCCGACAGCGGCUGGUCUGAUCUGGGCCUUGUGAGUCUGUGCAGGCGUGCGGAGCGGCGGCCGCCUUCUCCUUGGCUGAUCUGAUCGGAGUCGUGGUGGCCUAUUGAAUUUGGCCUAUUGAAUUUGCUUGAAUAAGGAGACGACCCUGGGGUUCUUCUCGUGCCAAGGCGGUGAUCUGCUUUAUUCCUGUCCUCCUUGGUCUGGCCAUUGAUGAAUUUCGGGAUGCUCUGCUGGAGAUAUCCUUUGGGCAGAUGAUGCCUCUAGAUUUCUUGAUCGGAUGGGAUCCGGUCAUGUGCAUCAUUAUUUCAGCCCGCAUGGCGUGGAGCGAAGCUCCAUUGAAUGUUGACAUUAUGGGACAUGCCAGUCUUUCAUUUCCAUCUUGUAGACAGUGACGGAGAAUGUCACGGCACAUAAGUUUGAGGAAUAUCAUUGCUUCGAGUCUAUGAAGAAUUUGCAUGGUGUAUCGUGACUUCUAGUAGAGGCAUCGACAAAUGGAGGUGGCAACACUAGAGGAGUCCAAAGUCUUAUCUUUCAAGGUGAAAAUUCAAAGUCUGGCCUUAAUUGGUUGUACCUAGCAAUGGCCUUGUUGAAGUCACUGUUUUGAAAGUGUGGACUUUCUCCAGGGUGAAAACCUAAGAUCUUUGAUCGGGUUGCGACGAUGCUUCUGCACUGUUUCCUUCUUGAAGGCAUCGCUUUUUGAGAAUAUGGACUCUGGAUGUUGUCCUUGCUGGUGUUUUAUGUUGCAGCUGCAAGGAAAUUGAUCACUCUAGCUGCACUUUUGCUUUCUUCUUCUUCAUCUUCUUUUUGUUUGAUGGUUGUUUGCAUUCGUAAUGUCUUUUGGACAUUUGAUUGGUGCGGAGGCUAGGUGUAAUUAGUAUCUACGCUAUAUUAAUAUAUUAUAUUUGUCAAAAAUAGAAUCAUAUCGUCAGGAAGGCAACCAAUAUAUGCUAAAUUCUCGGUUGCUUUAAAAUUAUCUUGACUUUCUAUGCUAAUAACUACGUAGGAUUGAGACAAUGUAUUAUCGUUUUCAUGUUAAUGAAAAAGGAAGGCAUGCACUUAAAUUAAAAAAGAAAGAAGCUACGACCUUGUCUCCUUGUUUUCCAAAGUUUGAGUUAAAUAAACUCAGCCGUCAUAUAAACAUUAUUGCUCGCAGUCUAUCUACCUAUCUAUCUAUCUAUCUAUCUAUCUAUAUAUCUAUAUCUACUCAUAUCUAUCUAUCUAUCUUUCUUUCUUUCUGUCUAUACCUCUACUAAUUGGAGUCCCCAUAUAAAUUUCCACGUUAAUUAGAAAUUAGGAGCAGUUCAUUUCGUGGGACUGAGUUAUUACAGUAGAGAUUAACCCACACUACUAGGGAAAACCUAGUAGUAGCGCGGGUUUUGAGGCUAGCAGCAGCGCGGGCAGCCGCGCUACUACUACGGCGCUACAGCUAACUAUUAGUAGUAGCGCGGUUUGCACCCUCGCUACUACUGUUGAGUAGAUCAGCAAUGCUUUUCUGAAAUGCGCUACUAUUAGUUAGCUGUAGCUAUUUCCUAGUCCCUCGCUACUGCUAUAUCUUUCAUCAUUUCUCCCCGCUUCCUACCUUGUUUCGGCUUCAAUAAACUGCAAUUUCCAGAUAUUAGGUACUACUAGAUAUCAAUUUCAUAAAGCAUUAUAGGUACUAGGUAGUUCUCCCUCUGUUCCAAAUUACUCAUCGUGGUUUUAGUUCAAACCACGAAGUGUAAUUUGGAACGAAGGGAGUACUAGAUAACAAUUUCAUGUAUAGUCAACAUGCAUCCUCCAGCAGUACAAGGUCAUAUCGACGACGGUCAUCAUAUGUAGUUCUAGAUGAUAUCGACGACGAUCAUCAUAUGUAGUUCUAGAUGAUAGAGCCACACACAUAUGUAGUUCUAGAUGAUAUCGAAGACGAUCAUCAUCCUCAAUCCUGGGCGGUGGGUGUUCCUGAUAGUAAUUAGGAUGGCAUGUCCAACACGAAGAUUCUUGCCAUCGAGGAAUCUCUUCCACCCAACUGAGUUUAAGUGUGUGCGACCGUCCGUGUACACGCGGUAAGUACAGGUUGUGACGGAGCCCCUUGCAGUAAGGCGUAGUCCAGCUGAGCCUUCUUCAUCAGGCUCGAUAGCAUAACUCACAGAUAGGCUCUUUGCCAAUUUCUGUAUAAGAAAAACAUAUCAAUUAAUAAAUAGCCUCGCACAUACUCUUGCAAAUAGGUAUAUAUGGAUUAUCUACACUAUUAGUAGUUCCUUAGAUUCUACACUAAUAAGCAUGUGAUCAAACUCUACACUAAAGCAUAUCAUCGACUAGAUUCCACACAACAUAUCAUUGGACUCUACAGUAAGCAUAUCAUCGGAUAAUUUGCUUUUGUACGUAUAACAUACCAUAGCAUGUCGAUCGACCAUGGUACUUGUGAGGCGGGUCACGAAUGGCACCCCGACAAAGUCAGCAUGUGGCGGAAUUAUGUCCCAUAGGUUGCACACCUCUUCCUCGCUCAGCCUCAUUCUUUGAGCUAUGAUGGCUUCAUGAAGUGCGUCCUCAUCAUCUUCAUUGAGUGGGUCUUCAUUAUCUUCAUCAUCUUCGUCAUAUUCAUCAUCUUCCACCAGGUUGAUAUAAAUGACAGCCAGCUUGGGUCUUUCUGUUCUGAAAGAGAAGCUGAUCAACUCACCGCUAGUAAGACGCAUGCGGGCGAGGAAACGGGCCUAUCUAUCUCCUCCAAUAUGCGAGUGUACGGCCCCCCAGGAGCCUCAAAUGUCACAGUGUCUCUUGUCAGCUUGUUGAAUUUCAACUCACAUUGCAUGGGACGAUCUAUGUAAAAAAAGAAAAAUGACACAAUGCAGUAAUGCCAACAGUAAAAAUAAAAUAAUUGUUACAUUUCAUAUAAUUUCUUACCGCCGCAUGACAAAAACUCGGCUGGAAGUAGAUGCCGAACAGCUUGCCAGUUGCAAGGCUGCUGGCGCACCUUGACUUACACAAUCAACAUGGUGGUGGUGGUGGUGGUUCCAUUUUCCCACAGCAAUAUGAGCAAAGGAUUAACAAUCCACUUCACUAUUAAAUCAACUAAAUCAACUAGCCUAUUAAAUCAACUUGCCUACUAAAUCAACUAAAUCAAAAUGUUCGAUAAAUCAACUAAAUCAACUAGCCUAUUAAAUCAACUUGCCUACUAAAUCAACUAAAUCAAAAUGUUCUAUAAAUCAACUAAAUCAACUAGUCUACUAAAUCAACUUGCCUACUAAAUAAACUAAAUCACAAUGUUCUAAAUCAACUGAAUCAACUAGCCUACUAAGUCAACUAAGUCAUAUGAACUAAAUCAAAAUAUUGCAUAUGAACUAGCCUACUAAAUCAAAAUGUAGCAGGGGGAGGGGUUGUGGAUGGAGGAGGGAGGAGGGAGAACGAGGGGCGACUGGAGGAGGGAGGAUAGAGUAGGACGGAGGAGGAAGGGCAGAGGAAGGAGGGGCCGGCCGGCGGCGAGUCAAGGGAGGACGGAGGAGGAGGGCGGUACCGAGUCCAGCGAGAAGGAGGAGGUGGAAGCGGCGCAGAGGGAAGAGGUGUAGGCGACGACGGCCGGCGGGGAAGGACCGGCGCGGGGGGCAGGGGGUUGAGUGGGAGAUGGAGUGAGUGUGAGAGUGAGUGUGGAUCGGAUAGAGGAGAGCGUGGGUGGUGGGAGAUAGCUAGUUUUAGCAGUAGCGCGCUAUAGGCAAAGGCGCUACUGCUAAACUACCUAGCAGUAGCGCACUUCGAUUUAAUGCGCUGCUGCUAUAACUAGCUUCGUGGCGGGGUCGUGGGAAUUAUAGUAGUAGCACGGCUUAGUGCAUGCGCGCUACUCUUACUUUUAUUUCAGCAACGUGUUCUGCUGGAGCGCGCUACUGCUAUAUUGCAGCAGCGCCUUAUUUUAGAACGCGCUGCUGGUAAUAUCCUAUGUAUUGGCUUUUCUCUAGUAGUGCCAGGUGACUCCUUUCACCCUAAUUUAACUUUGUAUUUCAAAACGUUGUCAAAUUACCAAUAUCUCCCGACCUCUCUUCUUUCUCUCUUAAUGUCACGUGGAUGUCGUCCUCUCAAUUUCUAUCAACUUUGCUCUAGGUUUAUUCCGUUGUCUUCAUGGGAAUCCCAACCUCAUCUUCCUGGUUUAUCUCCCAUGAUGUAGCAAGAUUGUUGGGUUAGAGAUAACGACAUCAUGUUCACGUGUGUUAAGCGGCAAAGAUCUAGUGGACCUUUGAUUAGGGAAGCUGCACGUGCAUGUUCAAGACAAUUAGACCUUCAAUUAGAAAAGCUGCACGUGCAUAUUCAGGUCAACACAUUGAGAGGACGCCACCUCGUGGAUGCCCUCCUUGAUCCUUUCGGGGGCCAGCCGGUAAUUGUAAUUGCCGAUUCGCUACUGCGCCACUCCGCCACAUUGCAUUGUCUUGCACCAACAUACACCCCUCUGUACUUGUAGGGGUGCAUGCCUUUGUUAUCAUAUAUCAGUGCCCUCAUCCCAGUCUAAUCUCGCCACCUUGAAAACAAAACCUAACAUUACAAUACUGUCUCCUUGGGCAGCCGCUCCAGAUCAUCACUGCCUCAUCUCUUCAACAACUAGCCCAAGAACCAUGCAUAGAACCGCACCGUCAGGAAGGCAACUAAUAUUUGCGAAAUUCUUGGUUGCUUUAAAAGUAUCUGGUCUGGAGUUGCUUUGCUAAUAAUUAAGUUAGAUUGAUACAUUGUAUUAUUGUUUUCAUGUGAAUGGAAAUUGGGAGGCAUGCACCUAAAUUAAAAAAGAAAGAAGUUGCGACCUUGUUGUCUUAACUGUCAAGAUUGAGGUAAAUAAAUUCAGCGGUCACAUAAACAGUAUUGAUCACAAUAUUAACCAGUUUUGCAAGACAGGUUGAAGUAAUCCUAUGUUCAGCCAGCUCUAUCAUGUGUGCUGACGUUUAUGAAAACUUAUUGGAAAAUGUAAAUUUCUACCGACUUACAUUAUUGUUGAACAGAAAAUGAGCUUCCAAAGAAAAUAAUUGGUGAGCUAUUUUAAGAUGUUCUACCUUACCUCUAAUGGUAAGAUUCAUUUUAAAUCUAGAUUGUUGGUUCAUGACAUUUAGUAAUGUCCAUAAACCAAAGAAUGGUAAUAAAGUAAAUGAUAACACACUAGUAGCUAAUGUAUUAAAUAGGCACAACUCUUUCCAUCAGAAGUGAUAAAUAUCAUGCAAUAUGCUACAGUAAUCACACAUCCAUGUACUCUAGGAUUUAUUAGUAUGUUGAAUUUUUAGAUAUGCACCAUAAGUCAAGAUAUGCUUAAUUGCACAUCCAUGAAUGACUGGUGGGCCUCAAUCAUUGUCCGCAUUCUUGAUUAGAUGGUGUCUUUGUAUGCAAGUCAUAUACUUUACGUUGAGUAUGUAUUGCAUGUGAGUUUGACAAGAAGCUUCGUAAUAGUUUGACGCAAGAUGUUGGAGCAGACUACAAAACCGACUUCCCAAUAGAAAUGUGAGAGUUAGUUUUUCAAAAGUAUGAAACCAUUCCAUAAAGUAUUAUUUUCAUUUCAUAAGAAUAGUUUGAGAUAUUUUUAGAUCUUAAUUCAGGAUGUUCUCUCAAAAAGUUAGUUUUGAGUGAACCCAAAGUAAAUUACUGCUUGAUAAAUACAUUCUUUUUGCAUGGUCUUCAUACGAUAUAAGUACCAGAAGAAUUUAAUUUUUCAAUGGUCAAUAAUGUGUGCUAAAAGGUUUAUUUCUUUACAUAUAUUGGUUCUCGCAAUUUAAGUUUAAUACUAGUUCAUAUUGGAAAGUAAUGAUGUGUAGAGAACAAAAAAGCUCAAUGUUCCCUCGUUUAUCAUCCACGAGGUAAUAUAUAGCUGACCAUUGGAUCAACAUAAACGGUCGAUCCAAAACAAUUCGAGAGAAUUUACAAUUUUAUAAAUAAGCACAUUUUCCAAGUCAAAUGACCACUUACAUGUUUUACUGUUGUAAUAUGACAGUGACACGUCACGCCACAACAGUUUGCAGUCAAAAAGAGCAUAACUAUUUAGCAAUGGAUCCCUUUUACUAUAGCUGAUCAAUGGGUGGAUAGCUCCCGCAUUACACGAGUAAGUCGAAGAUAAUUUCUAAAUGAUUGAAAUCGUUUCCCCCUAGUUUCCAGGGUUCCCGGGUUCCUCUAGCGGCUGCUACCGGCUGCGUAAAAAAAUCCCUAUCUUGUUGUUCUCGCACCGACACGGCAAGACGGGUCCUCGGUCUGACAGUCUCAUGAAGCUCAGGAAGGUUCUACAUGGCCGAAGGGAUGUCCUGCAAGAUGCAUCUGGCAGAUCAAAAACUACUUGUAUCCCUGGAGAUGUUACUCGAGCAGAAAGAUAAAGCGUGACGGCAGCUGGGGCGUACCAACUAGCUUAGGCACAAUGACUGAAAUACAAGUUUUUCUAGAAUCAUACAUGUGAGUGACAGAGAAGGAACACCAUCUUAGCUUUUAGAUUUUAACAAAUUGUGGAACCUAAUGAUGAAUUGCCAAACAUGAUUUUGAAUUUUAACAAAUUGUUUACUUCCAAAUUAAAUGAACCUAAUAAUGAUGUGCUAGACAAAGUACAUGUCAGUCUAACUGUGGGUAUGAAUGAAAUAUUCUUCAUGCCAUAUACACUUGAAGAACUAAAAAACGAUUGGUUUAACAUCAGAGCCAUGAAAGAAUCAGGAUCCUAUGGUGGCACACAGUUGAGGUUGGCCUCGACCUUGAUCACCCACGUGGUGUACUUACCGCCAGUGAGCAUCGGCACCGGCUGCGGCAGCGAGCUGCCCGCUUCGGCGGCGUACAGCACGAGCGACAUCGUCGGCGAACUCCUCCCGCAAUGAUGCUCUGAUAUCAAAUGUUGUUGCAAAACCCUGGCCUAGCUCUCCCUCUAACCUAUCUCUCUCUCUCUAUGUCACCUCGCUCUAGCCUAAGCCGAAUCAAGGAAGAAGAAAACACGAGGACAAGGGGGACACGGUGGAGUUCCGGCGCACGAAUGCCCGCUGCACAGACGGCCUUGUUUUCCCUCGAGCACAUUCCACACCUGUUACAACGACCAUCGCGCGUCUUUAUACACGAGCCAGCGCACCGGGCACGAACCCAUGCCUCCACUCCCUCCCGAUCGCUCGCGCUUCGCCCGCUCUGCUCGUGCCCGCGUCGCGCUCCGACGCGCACAGACCACGGCGAGCUCCAACGGCAGCACCCUCGAUCGCGCCACGCUACUCGCCAACAGCCUAGACCUAAACACACGCACACGAUGCACACCCGCACGGACACGCCCCUGCUACACCUGCACGCACGCACACCCAGCCACGGACCCGACGUGUCCAACACACCCAGCGCGCGCCCAUACACGGUCGGGCGCGUUCGACCCGUCGCCAUGGCUUAUUAGCCCAACAAGCCGAUUAUGGUUUGUAGAAGCCUCACUUGAUCUUCCUGUUUGCGGGUGGUCGGGUUGCAGAUGUAGAACCGGGAUUCUCGUGAGAAGACGUGGAAGCCAUCGUAGGCGCCUAGGAGGUGAAUCUUGGAAUGGACGCCCGGGACGAAUGGCCAAAGCUGUUGAUUGGCAGCGCACGAGCGGGCGCAGGCGCCGACGUUGCGGAAGACGACAAGGCCAGCAGGUCGCCCCCGCUCAUCGACUAUGGGGGAGGACGGCUGGCGGCCAUGGUGUUCGACGGUGAAUUCGGGCGUGGAGGUGGCAGCGCGCCACGACUCGCGGACGGCACGGCAGCGGCCUAUGUCCUUGGGCGGCAGCACGAUGAGGAUCUGGUCGACGACGAUCUCCUCGGGCAGGUCGUCGAGCACGGUCUCGCCUCUCCCUGUUCGGUAUCGUCCGUCGGAUCCAGUGAUCAGCCAAAAAAGAGCUGCAAAUCAACUUUUGUCCUCAAUAAAGCGCAAGCGGGAGAUCCGCCUAUCAAAACAUGUAUACUAGUAAAAUGCGAGGAGAUUUUGUGUGCUAAUGGUAAAAAGAAAUCGAAGAGACGCACGGGACAAGGCAUGGCCGUCCGAUGAUAAAGACGGAAGUUUGCUCACCUGCGUGUGUGAGGAAGACGGUGGUCCGGCCAGCACCUGCCCGUACUCCGGAGAGAGAUUUGAGGGGAAAGGUCGAGAAAGGUGGGUCUGGCCGGAGUGAAGUUCUAGCCGCACCGCUGUUUGGUUGCGUGACGGUACGAUGCAAGUUCUAGCAGUUAUGACUACAGGCACUGGUAGAAAAAGAGGCUUCCGUCCAGCCCCAUUAGUCGCGAAACUGUAGGAACCGCGAUUAAUGAAGUCUUUAGUCGCGGUUCGGCAGACGAACCGCGACCAAAGGUCUGGGCCCAGGGCGCUCGGUGGCCAGCUGGUGCACGUGAUGAGCUUUAGUCGCGGUUGGCCAGGCCAACCGCGACUAAAGGUGCCCAAAGGCCUUUAGUCGUGGUUGGCCAGGCCAACCGCAACUAAAGCUCCUCCCCUAUAUAUACCAGUUCAGCCCUUUAGUCGCGGUUGGUCUGGCCAUCCGCGACUAAAGGUUACCCUUUAGUCGCGGGUCGCCUCCCCAACCGCGACUAAAGGGGGGGCUAUAAAUACAAGGGCCCGAACCCUUUCUCGUGUUCUCCGAUUCAACACCGCGCCGAAGGCCUGCCGCCGUCGCCCUCGCCCUCGACGCCNNNNNNNNNNNNNNNNNNNNNNNNNNNNNNNNNNNNNNNNNNNNNNNNNNNNNNNNNNNNNNNNNNNNNNNNNNNNNNNNNNNNNNNNNNNNNNNNNNNNNNNNNNNNNNNNNNNNNNNNNNNNNNNNNNNNNNNNNNNNNNNNNNNNNNNNNNNNNNNNNNNNNNNNNNNNNNNNNNNNNNNNNNNNNNNNNNNNNNNNNNNNNNNNNNNNNNNNNNNNNNNNNNNNNNNNNNNNNNNNNNNNNNNNNNNNNNNNNNNNNNNNNNNNNNNNNNNNNNNNNNNNNNNNNNNNNNNNNNNNNNNNNNNNNNNNNNNNNNNNGUAACCGGCCUCCCUCGCCCACCGCGCGCGCGCCGCCUCGCUCGCCCGCCCUCAACGCCGCCGGCCGGCCUCGGUACUGCCGCGCGCGCACGGGCCACCGGUCUCUGACAGAGAGCGAGAUCGUGGAGAGAGAGAGGCCCGGGGCGCCGCGGGCCACCGGAAUUUUUCUUUCUUUUUCUUUUUUUUGUUCUUUUUAAUUUUAACUAGUUAAUUAGUUUAACAAAAACGGUAAAAUAACUUAAAACUUGAUAAUUAACAAAAAAACCGUAAAAUUUGAUAAUUAACAAAAAAAUGUAUAUAAAACUUGAUAAUUAACAAUAAAAAAAGUAAAACUUGAUAAUCAAUAUAUACAACGACCCCGCGCGUCAAUGUACAAUGAUCCCGCUUUAAAAAAAUGUACACGACCCCGCGCAUAUACGGAGAGGGGGCGGCGAGGGGGGCGGCGAUGCGCGCGGUGUUUUUUUUUGGGAUCGAGAGGGGGCGGCGAGGGUUAUACAUGUGUGUUGUCCUCGCCUCCCUCUCCGUGACGCCGUCGUCUGCCGCCCCGUCUCGCGCUCUACUGCGACACCCUCUCCCACCCCUUCCUCGCCCCCUCCUUUUGCCACCGCCACCACCACCGCCCCCCUUCUUCACUUAAUUAAUUUGUUUUUACUACAUGUUUUCAGGACUGACAUAAUGGCGGACGAUAGAGCUGACCCGAUUAUGGACAACUAUGAUCCGGACGGUGAAGCACAUAUGUUCGGCAUCAUAAACGGCGAUAUUNNNNNNNNNNNNNNNNNNNNNNNNNNNNNNNNNNNNNNNNNNNNNNNNNNNNNNNNNNNNNNNNNNNNNNNNNNNNNNNNNNNNNNNNNNNNNNNNNNNNNNNNNNNNNNNNNNNNNNNNNNNNNNNNNNNNNNNNNNNNNNNNNNNNNNNNNNNNNNNNNNNNNNNNNNNNNNNNNNNNNNNNNNNNNNNNNNNNNNNNNNNNNNNNNNNNNNNNNNNNNNNNNNNNNNNNNNNNNNNNNNNNNNNNNNNNNNNNNNNNNNNNNNNNNNNNNNNNNNNNNNNNNNNNNNNNNNNNNNNNNNNNNNNNNNNNNNNNNNNNNNNNAAAUUCGAUGAGGAGGGUAACAAGAUUGAGGAAAACAAGGAGAGGAGGAGGCUAGUCAAACAGUUCGCUCUUCAUAAGAUGGCCGACGCAUUCCGGAAAUUCAAGCAAAAUCUAGCCCAUGACUUUGUCAAGCAGAACAAGACUCCGGAUUUCAAAGGACAAUAUGAGAAACUGAAACAUGAUUGGCCAGAAUUUGUGAAGCAAAAGAAAUCGGAGCAGUUCAUUCAAAUAUCAAAAAAAAUAAGGAAAAUGCGGCUAAGAAGGAGUACAAUCAUAUUAUGGGGCCAGGAGGGUAUCGCCUUUGGGAGCCUAGGUGGGAGAAGAUGGAGAACGAGCUGAGGGCGCGAGGAAUCCGUCCAGGUACGGAGGGAUGGGACCCAAGGGCCAAAAGCUGGUGGUACGGGCAUGGGGGAACGCUGAACCCGGAGACAGGGGAGUGUGUUUACCGGGGCAAAAUAAUUAAACCCACACAAGCCCUUAUUGACGCAAUGAGGGAUGCUCAAGAGGGGAAGAUCAAGUUCAACAGAGAGAACGACGCGCUGACAAAAGCCCUCAGGAAUCCUGAACACGGAGGACGUGUACGAGGCAUGGGGCACAUUCCGUGGAAAAUAGGGUUCCCCCAGAACGAUGACCCGUACGGUUACAGAAGCCGGAAUAGAAAGAUGGAUCGGGAAGCAGAUGUUGUGGCGCGGUUGGCAUCGGAAAUGGAUGUGAUGAAGAAAACCGUAAGUGUACUAGUAGCCGAAAGAGAUGCAGCUCGGGCGCAGUAUGAAGAUCAUCCAGCGGAUCUCAGAAGCCAGCAGCGGAGAAGCAGUGUGGCUUCCACGGAGGCCCCACCGGCUGGUGCAGAUGCACCAACGAUCGAAAUUACUGCACCGGAGCCUCUGGUGGUCGAAAUUACUGCACCGGAGCCUCUGGUGGUCGAAAUUACUGCACCGGAGCCUCCUUGCUACCCCGUGGACGAUAUAAAGGAGAUGAAAGAAUGUCAUCUGUAUUAUCCUAUCGGGAACAUGUCCAUGAAGGUAGCCAUCGACAGUGCUUUACCAUGUUUACCUGGAGCACUCCACCACAACAACCCCAUUCAAGAUGGCUAUGCUCGUGUCACGGUGGAGGACAUAGUCCAAGGGUUUGAGGACCUGGAGAUUGACAUUGCUACACCUGAAGGGGAGAAAAGACUUGGAGAUGUCAAGCGCCAUUUCAUUCUAUGGCAAAAGAAGUUUAUCAAGUUUCCAGGCGAGGCGCCAAGGACAACAAGUCCACCCCCCUACGGUGGUGGCGGUUCACCUACACCUCCGUCACGUCAGCCGACGCCCCCCAGUCCACAACGUCCGUCGGGUGAUCAGACGCCGCCACCCAGUCCUCGUCCGGCGGGUGAUCAGACGCCGCCCCCCAAUCCACCUCCGGCAAAGAAGCAGAAGCAGUCCUGGAUUAUUAACCCGGACCCUUAUGUACCUAAGACCACAAAGGUACCGGAGCCAUCACUGAAGCCUCUCCCCACAAGGCCUUGGGAACGUAGUGCCGAGGAAACUGCCGCGGCCGCGGCUGCUGAUCAUGAGAAAUGGAAGGCGGACUGUAAGAAGAAAAGAGAGCCCGAGCCCAAGCCAGUAUUUUCUGAUGAGCAAAAGAAGUGGGCUAAGUCAUUUUUGAGCACACCGUCCCAAGCCGCGAAGAAUCUGCCUGACGACUAUGCACGUGAACUUCGUAGGCAGGCACUCAUGUUGAAGGAGAAGAAAGAGCGGCCGGAGAACCAGGAGAACAAAGCCUUGGAGGAGGCCGAGAAAACGGAAUUAGAAAGUAAAAAAAGCGGGAAACGAGUUGCCCAGCUCGGGGAACAAAGUAAACAAUCGAUUGCCCCGCUUAUAGUGAAAGCCGCCGGUCCGGAUGACCCCGAUAUCAUAGCAGCUGCGGCAGCACAUGGAUUGACUGUAACGAGUGCCAGAGAACAAGCGGCCAAUUUAGGUAUUACUCUUCGUGAACUGUUAGGCCUUGAUGAGGCGCCAGUGAAGGAGGUAGUAAUUACAUAUGUGAAGAAUGGGCCUCUCGUCGAGCCUGCGCAGGAAGAGGAUCUACCUCCAUAAAUGAAAGGUCUGCUGAAAUGGUACAAGGGUUACAUAAAAAAUAAAAACGCCAAAGAAUAUAUUUAUGCGGAAGUUAGAUAUGAGCAUCACUUCAAACAUUACUAUGUACAAAUUCAUCUGAGUGAAUUGUUCCAGCUUUUCAAUCUGCACGAGCUCGACAAAUCUAUCAUCAGUUGCUACGUUCUGUAAGUGAUUUAUUUCUACCCCAUCUCGUUCAUAUUGCCUGCACUAUAUAUAUGUCCUAACUAUAUUGUUGUGUCCGCUAUUAUACAUGCAAAAUGAAGAUUAAGGAAUGCAGAGUAAGGAACAUCCAUGAUGUUGGGUUCAUUGACCCACACAUCGUUAAUGGAUAUGUGUUGGAGCAUCACCCCGCCGACAUGGAGGCAGACCUGUGGCAGUUUCUUACAAAGCAGGAACUCAAAAGUGAUAUUCUAUUUCCUUACCAUUUUGGGUGAGUGUUUCUGUCUUGAGCACAUUCUCUUUUGUUUACUCUAUGCAUGGUAUGUGGCCGGCUAAUCGAUGAGUUAUGCAUGACGUACUGUGCAUGUAUCGUGUCCGCAGGUUCCACUGGAUUCUGCUAGUAAUUAAAGUUGACACCUCAGAAUGUCUCGUCCACGACUCUAUGAAUAAGGAUCCAAAGCUUUGGGGCGGCAUGAGAAGAAUGCUGCAGAAGUAAUUAUUUUCAUUCAUUUGCGCUCUAUAUCGAUCGGCCUAUUUCGUUCAUUUCCUAAUAUCAAGUAACUAAUAACUCUCUUGUUCAUUUAAUUUUCUUUGCCUCGUAGGAUUUGGAGACGGUUCGUAGAUACAAAGGUCGGUGAAUUCAAAAAAGAGCUAGAAUUCAAAAGGUCAAAGGGUAAGAAUGGUGAGGAUAUUCAGCCAGCGGGGACCAAUCUAUGUGCAUACUAUGUCUGUGAGAUGAUCCGGAGAUACACCUCUGAGCGGGUUCCGAGUGAUACCAAUGCUCAGAGGAAUAACCUCCGGAUGAUGCUUAGUCCAGAAGCUCGCUUCCGACCACUUCAAGAGGAACUAGCUGGAUGGUUCAGGAGGGAAGUCCUCCAUCCUAAAGGAGAACACCAUUACGAGGACGUAGAACUUUAUAUGCAUUAAAUUAUGUAUGGAAACUUGUUCAAAAUUGUAUAUGGUCAUCCGAUGAUAUUGAAUAUAUAUUGUAUAUUCCUCUUGAAUUCUUUUUGGUUCUAAUUUCAAAUUUGUUUGAAUUUGUACAUUCAUAUGCAUGUAUGUAGUACCGUAGAAUAUGUGAAACUCCUUCAAAAUUAAAAUAAAGCACAAAAGAAAUAAAACAAUACAAAUUAAACAGAAAACAGGUUUAGGGGGGGGGGCUAAAACCCUAAACCUGCGGCGGCCUUUAGUCGCGGUUGGCCAGAAGAACCGCGACUAAAGGUCCUCCGCCCCGACGGCCGCCUGGCGACCACGUGGACGGGCCUUUAGUCGCGGUUCUUAAGCAACCGCGAUUAAAGGGGGGGGGGGCCUUUAGUCGCGCCUAUUUGGUCGCGGUUGCGCAACCGCGACUAAUGGCAGUUGCGAACCGCGACCAAAGGCCCUUUUUCCACCAGUGAGGGCGACGCCUCGCGGUUAAAUUUCGUGUUUUGAUCCUUUUCUAAAAGUUAAUCGAAAUCUGACCCAAGUUCGUAAUAGGGUCCAUGGCGGUAGGGUGUAACAACCUACCGCCGGGGACCUUAGCGGUAGGAAACACUCCUACCGUCAAAUAGGCUGGCGGUAGGCUAUACAACCCUACCAUCAAGGUGCCGACGGUAGAUGCGAGCAUCCAUUGUGUCUCAUAGAAUUUUUUUCCGGUAGGCAUGCAUUGUGAUGUACAUCGGUUUUUUUUUCUUUUUGAAAAGGAUGUACGUCAUUUUAUUUUUCAGUUGAGGAUGUUCCUCGGUUGACCGCGCACAUAUGGCUCCUAGCUUUUUUGACACAAUACCGCUAUACACACGAUAGAUUUGUACCCGAUUUCCGCACAAUCCUACAUGGCAGCCCCACAGUGCAUGUGCAACUCACGAGAUAGGAUAUGUUUGGUUGCAUUGCUGGAUGGGCUAUGCUUAAGCUAGCCCAGCUAGCCUAGCUCAGCUUUGCCAGCCUUGCCGUAAGUUACCCAUUUGGAUGCAUCGCUUUUGCUGGCAGUUACAUGCGUGUACGUGCGGGUCAAGCAUGGACUUUUUUGUGUGCAUGCACGCUUGUCGUUGAGAGCGAGCAGAUUCGGCACAACAGGAGGAUUUUGUGAACACACUCAGGCAAAAAAAAAUUAUAUUAUGCAGCUCACAAACUUGAAACGCAUGUUGUGAUUGGAUAAAAGAACUUUCAAAGUGUGCGUUGCAGUCCCAAACAUGGAACGCCUAUGACGAAAAGGUUACCGGCCAAUCACAGUGCGCCUGCUGGCUGCCACAUCAGAUUUGUUUGUUGAGCUGGCCACACAGUUAACAGCUGCUACAAUGUUGUUGACACCCCCCGUGGUCUAUGCCAUGCACACCUUUAGUCACUCAUUUUGUGUCUCCACAGUGAAUAUUGUGUUGCGUGUUCAUACUGUUCUGCCACCGCUCUAGCUUUCACCCUCUUCCUCGCACAAUAGAUCCGCCGCCGUGGUUGGUGCCACCUGCGUGGCGUGACCAUCCCAUUGGUGAAUGACUGAGGUUCAUCCUCCGAUGAUCCGACAAGUAGCACGGUGUUGUUCUGGCUUUUCACAAUUUGGGGAUUUGCCGCUUCCCUAUAUUGAAUCGAUUUGGUUGAUGUUUGGAUGUCGUAGACUAUUUCGUACAUGGAUUGAAGUGAACUAGCAACGGAUGUGUCGGCCCGAUGCCUCCAUAAGCUCCCAUGCAAAAAGAAGUUGGCUGAUACCGGGAGGAAAUUUCUUAGGUGUGCAGGCCAUCUGAGUUAUUUUUACCAGUGUGUAAUCAGGCCAUGUGUGUAACCUGGACAUGUAUAAUCAACUUGGGCAUGUGUAAUCAAGACAUGUGCAUGCACUUGACCAAUCCUAUAAAAUGUGUGCAUGUUUGUCUGUUGAUGAUGCUUUAAGCUUGAUUACCAAAAAUAGCUCAUUACUAAAUUCAAGUGCUUCAGUUGACCGAUGAUAUAAACUUACGUUAAUCAACUCCCAGGUCGUGUAUAUAUGAACGUGCGUAUAAGCACCCGCGGAAGUUGCUUUUGUGCAUCAGCAAAAAUUGAGAGAGAAAAAAACUUUGAAGGUACUACACGUGCAUUUAGCUGAUGACGAGUUGUUGUGGAGAGUUUUGGCCGAGAGAGAUUCAUGUACGAGAAGCUGCACGUAUACAAAAACAUCAUGUAGUUACACACAGUCAAUUUUCGCUACAACUGACCCAGGAAGAAGCUUCACUACUGAUGCUAAUCAACAACAUAAUGAUCCCGUUCAAAAUAAUAAAAUAAAUAAGACAACAACUCGACCCUGGACUUUUAUUCCGACGAAACGUGAUCCUAGACAUGUAGUCGGAACUAGAGCUGUAGAUGGCGAUGUCAUGUGGCAACCGAGCUAUCGGUGUCCUUGCUUGAUGAGCACCGAUGCCGCGGUGCACUCACCUCACCUGAAAAUGGAAGAAAAGAAAUGUCAUAAUUAAGUGUACUCAUAAUCAAAGUGGUGUUCAUCCAAGAACUCAACAACUCACCGGAUGUAUCCUGGGGUGGAGCUAUGCUCAGCAACUCACCAGGUGUAUCCCGUGGUGUAGCUAUGCAGGCCAGGGGGGCAACGCCCCCCCCCCCCCCUCUCCUAGAAAAUCAUCUUUUUCGACAACGCCUAGAAAAUCAUCUGGAGGGCUCUGAUGGAAUAAAUAGUGUUUUGUCCCUCAAAUCUUCAUAUUUUAAUUUUUGAUUUCCAUUAAGUAUUUCUCUUGCCCGGCAAAGCUCGAUGUGGGUAGUGUUGCAAACAGGGCACAACAGGUUCAUGGUGAGCCGCCGCUUGAUGCAUCGUUGAUGGAAAAUGUGGUUGCAAUCAAGCUUUUCUGGUGCCCCCUACAUAGCAUGUUAGUGUACUGACGGUGAAGAGUGGGAGUGUUCCUGAAAGGUAUUUGUUUCUUUUGUUUAAGGAUUGUUGACUUGACACUGAUUCCCUCUCUAAUGUCGCUUUCUUCAGUGUGGGCAGUGACUGCCUCGAACAGAAGAUGCCCGUGUCGAGUGAUAGCAGGUGGAUGUGAAUCAGCAUCCUCUUCCACUGACGGAUGCAAUGGACAACCGUCAUGACCAGCGGCCUCACGAUGGAAAUGGCCGUGAAGAUGAAGGACGAUGGUCUCACUAGAGUGGACCGACCAACUAGAUCGGUCGGCUGACUUGUCGAUGGGCAGUCUCCGGUGGAAGUUGUUGGCUCCCGUAUGACUCGUAUUGCAUAAACAACCGAUAGUUUAAAAGGAGAGAUGACUCGCAGGGCAGCCCUGCCAAUUGAUGAUGGGGAGCGACGACUGGCGGCGAUAGUGUUGAAGCAUGAAUUCAGACGUGGUGGUGAUACUGCGCCACGAUUUGCUGACAGCCCGGCAGCGGCCGACGUCUUUGGACGGCAACAGGACGAGUAUGCUGUUAAUAGAGUAAAUUGGAAAAAACCACCACAAUUGGGAACCCUAAUUCACAAAACCGCCACCAUUCGAUUUUUUUUCAGAAAACCACCAACAUUGCGCUGACAGUUUUCAAAAAACGUUGAUCGCUCCAUUAAAACCAUUUAAUUGAAAACCUGACAAGUGGGUCCCGAUGACAAGUCCACAUGGUGGAGGAGAGACUGCGGCAACCGGUCAACCCCGUCUCCUCACGACUUUUCUCCAUGCGCUCUCACGCCUCCGUACACACAUGGGGGCCCGUGGGUCCGGCCAGGCAGGCCGCCCGCUGACGAACCUCCCAGCACUGCCGGCUUCUGCGCCACACAGCACCACGCUCGGCCGCCUGCCAUGGCUCCCGGCCACAAGCCAAACACGGAUGGAGGACAGGCCCAGGAGGUCCUGUGCCGGCCUCUGGGUGGCGAAGCGGCCGUCGCCGGAUUGCUUGGGGGCGUCAGCAGCAGACCACGGUGGUGCCAGACCGUAGGGGUUCGUCGGGAGAAGACCAUGACAUGGAUUCGCCGCUUGCUACUGGACUAGGCAGGGGGCAGGGGAGCAUAAACUGCUUGAGUUCGUCGGCCAUGGCAGCGGCCGUGCUCGGAGCUCGCGGGGGAUGGCGCUACAGCGUGAAAUAGAGCAGGGGAGAUAGGGGGAAAUUGAGAGGAGCUCAAGUCGAUGCAGCAGGGGAGCUCAGUGGGCUCGAGGCAGGCUUCGAGGCGGCGAAUCGAGGGCGAGGAGCAGCUGGUGCAAGCGGCGGCGAAGGGCUCGAUUCGGCCAUCACCGGGCGUCCUUGCUCGAACCCGUCGACAACGUAUACCAGCGCGAAAAGGCGGAGGUCAGAGAUAUAGUAUGGCAGCGGUUCGUCGGCGGUGGCUACACUGGCUACAAUCGGCGGCGAGGCAAUGUUCUCGGACGGCUCAGAGGAAACCCGCGGCAGCGUACGUUACGUGCCUUAGACCAGGCGACAAGGUAGAAGGGAAGAUGCAGGAGAAAUAAGGGCAGGGCGGCGACGACUUGGCUUGCCGGCAGCGACCUGCGGUUCAGCCUGGGAUCCUUCCGGAUCGAGGCGGUGGCGGCGGCUGUGCACACUGCGUGCAUAGUGGAUCGAGAGGAGGAGGACACAGAGAUGUGUUUUUUAUUACAUGUGAGAUAUCACACUGACAUGCGUGUCCCACGUCUAUUUUGACGGUUGGUCAAACGCCGUUAGUUUUGUUUGCCACAUCAUCACUUAUGAUGGGGCCUAUAUGUCAGUUUUAGCGUUAGCAAGUGCUUAUAUGUGCGAUCAGCGUUUUUUGAAAACUGUCAGCGCAAUGUUGGUGAUUUUUAAAAAAAAAAUCGAAUGAUGGUGGUUUUGUGAAUUAGGGUCCCCAAUUAUGGUGGUUUUUUACAAUUUACUCGCUGUCAAUAAGAUCCUUGGGAAGGUCCCCGAGCAGAGUGUUGCCUUUCCAGUCCGGCAUGGUGCUCCAUCGGACUGAAAUGAAUCAGAAAGAUUUCGUAAGUACGUCGGGUGAGGAUGGAGCGUCUGCGUCAACAACUAACUGCUCCGGCGAACGGCUUGAAUUAAGGAAACGCGUAAGAAAAGUACAGGAGGAAGGCCAAGACGGGUUUACCUAGGAUUGGAGACGCGCAGAUCCAGCAGCGACGACGGGUCGACGGCAGUCGAGCUAUGUUGGCAUGGCGAGCGUGAUCCGUCGCCUCUCUGCAGUAAUACAGACGAGAUUUGAGCGCCAACAGAGAUGAGGGAAAAACGAAGAAAACUGGUCAGACAGGAGAGAUCUGACCGCGACUAGUUUGGGGCUUUGGGCCGAGAAACUGCUCACCGUCUAUUAUGACGAGUCUACCAUUCCUUUUUUUCUAUUUUUUUUCUAUUUGCGUGUGAGUUUACCAAUCCUUUGGAUGAGCAUUAAUCAGUGGCCGGACGGAAUAAGAGAAAUUAUAUCAAAUACUCCAUCCAUUUCUAAAUAUAGGUCUUUUUAGAGUUAUUAAUAUAGACUACAUACGGAUGUAUAUACACAUAUUUUAGAGUGUAGAUUCACUCAUUUUGCUCCGCAUGUAGUUCAUCUUAAAAUAUCAGAAAACUUUUAUUUACGAACGGAGCGAGUAGAUAAUAUUUUUUGUAAUGGCUUCACUUUCUCCAUAUACCCCCUCUGCUCUUUUUUCAGACCUACGCCACCCAAAAACCACCACAAAUGAGGCUAGGGAAAUAACUUGGUACCACAUCGGAGGAGGGGCACAAAAAGCCACCAACUUUGUGCCUAAUGUGUAACGCAUAGCACUGAUGCGACGCCUAUGGUAGUCUUCUGUGGCUGUGAAGGCGACAGUGGGCUCACAGGUCUUGACACAGGCGCGGCCAAGGCCUCACUGUGCACUACCGCGAUGUCGCCGGCCGCCAUGCAUAGCAGCACUUGUGCUCGAGCAUGGUCGCGGUGCCCAUGGGAUGUGACACCCCAAGCAUCUUCAUAAGUCGGAGCCCGAGCAGGAGGUCCCGUGCGGAAGAUGCCUCAGGUGCGGCGCGACACUGUAGAGCUCGCCUACUGACAUCCAGGACGUGUCUGUCGUUGUAGUUCGGCAAGAGAAGGUGCGGCACCGCGGAUACCCGUCGUGCUGCACCACCGAGGUCCCCUGUGUGCACCCACUGUUUCCCGCAACGCCGUCAGCUCUGGUCAUGCACGUACUCGCGGUCGACGAUCCGGACAAGGCCGCCGUCCUGCACUGGCGGAAGGGUGCCGAAGGGCUCCCACUGAGCCGUCGUGAUUGUCCGCUUCUGCUGGAGUCUAACAUGCUUGGCAGUGGGGCGGAUCCUCACCGGAUCCGGGCGGAACAAGGGCUGGAAGUGCGGCUGGGGUUAGAUCCUACGCGAUCCAGUGACUUGUGGCGGCGAACAUCAGUUAGCUAGGGUGAGGCUCGCCGUGGUAAGGCUCUGGCUGUGGCCCAGGUUUUGGCUUGGUUGUUGUCGCGGUCUUGGGGAAGAAGAUGGCUUGAAGGGAGAGAGAGGACCAUAUAAGGGGACUUCGGCCACCUCAGUAAAUUAUCCAUGUAGUCCUGCCACAUCGGGCCGACGGGUGGGCCCAUCCGGCCAGGUCCGCCAUUUUCACGGUUAAAUUCGAGCACCAGUGCUCUGCAUUACGCAUUAGGCACAGUUCUGGUGUUUUUUUGCCCUGCCUUCAAUAUGGUACCAAGUGAUUACUCUAGCCCAAAGUGUGGUGUUUUUAGCUAAAUAACUCACACUCGUCCAUAGCAGCCUCCCCCCACGCACACAUUUUCUGAACGUCAACUCACGAAUGCCCCGCGAUUCUCUACCUUGCCGCUUUGUUGCCUUGUCUCGCAACAAAAUACAACCAUCUAUACCUGCACGGGUGCAUUCCUUGUAAAAAGGAAACUCUUACAUUACAAAAUCGUCUCCGCAGGCAGCGACUUCACGUCAUCACUCACUACAAGAAAUAUGUUAACUAGUGACCUUCUGUCAGUGACCCUGGAAGAAUUGGUCAUAGAUCCAUGACCAUUUCAGACCAAUUGGUCAAAAGCUAUUCGGGGGGCUCCAAACCCUAAACCAUUGCGACCAUUUUGGUUAGAAAGGUCGUAAUUUCGUUACAUGAAAUGGUCACAAAGAAAACAGUGCUAGGCCGCUGCCUUAUUUCUAGUUGUUAACGACCAAUAUAGAUGGUCAUAGCCUUGUAUAUUGUGGUGGGUUGUGAUGACUAGGCGCCAUCUCAUCAGUUUUGCCUAUGUGUCAUGUCCAUGUGGCAGUUUUUUCCCUAGGUUGUGAAGCAACCUAUAUUUCUGCCAUUCCUAAAAUUCCAAAAAAAUUCUCAUAAAUGUUUUGGAUCAUAUCUUCAUCAAAUAUGUCAAAAACAUUCCUUGCCUAGUUCAAAAAUAAUUCGAAAAUAUUCAUUUUCCUAUUAUGUUCAGAGCAGCACUUUGUGAAGGAAGUACCACUUUGCCAUGUCCAAAUGGUAUCCAUUUUCUACAGUGCUUUCCUAUGCCCAAAUAAACAUCCUCCACCAAAUGCCAGCUCAAUCCAUUCAUUAUUUUGAGCCCAGCUUCAACAUUCAUAUUUAUGUCCAGUGUGGUACUGUGUAAAGCAAGUACCACCUAGGCUCCUCCUUUUGAGGUGAAAAUUUGUGAAGACGGUCUUCUUAGUAACAGAUCAUCCUCAGCCUAAACUCACGCCCAUUAGCCAUGUGCAUUUCCCGUACCGCAAAUCAAACACUUGGCUGCUUAUUCAUAUUUGAGCAUUGAUCGGACUCCUUGUGAGAAUCUUAUAUUGUGAUUUUCUUCCUAGCACCUACCUGGGGAGUGCCCAACCCACUAGACAUGCGUAGGCCGCCCAGAACACAUGGCAACGACACGGUCACGCGGUGACCACGCGGCGGGCAUGCGAGCUUACGCGCUCUAGAGUUGGGGCCCUCGGCCACCGUCCAAACCUCGAUGUCUCACCAUCAAACCAUGUAUUUCUGAUUAAAUAGAUACUUAUUUACCUAGAAAUAAUUUUUGAAAAAAAUAAAGAGCAAACUAUGAGGCAGCUGCAGUUCAAAUUUGACCCGCUUCCUACUGAAUCGACGACAAUUUGUCUUUUUCACCAGAGGUGGAUCAAAAUUUUUGACACCCAACCAUUUUGUCAAUUGUGCAUUAUAUAUGGCCUAGUAUUUUAUAUAAUUGAUUAGGUCCAAUUUUGCAACAAUUAUUUGGUAGGUCGUUCACAAAAAAACCUCACUUGGGGCACUCGAAAAAUGGAAAAUGGCUCUUUUGUGCAAUGAAAGUGAAAACUCCCCAAAUCAACAUUAUUUGGAAUGACAAUAUGCACCCUUGUGCAGAAUAUGAGAUCAUUUGAACAAACUAUUCCAUGAAUAUGGCCAUAAGAUUGAUCAUUUGGCUUGAAAGCCAUGAAUCUUCACGCUUGAUAGCUCAUUUCUGAGAACACUUUUUUUAAAAUAAUUACCGUAUUACAAGUUUAUUAUUUUUCCUGGAAACAUGGUCACAUAUAAUGACACAAUGCGAAGGUUUUCCAUUUUUUUGAUAUUUUUUGAUUUUUUAUGCCCAUUUCAAAAUGCAGUCAAAACGGCGGGCUUGACCGUUCCUAGCUAGUGGUUGAAUCUUGGAAUUUUUUUGGUGUUUCUCUGAUUAAAUAGAUACUUAUUUACCUAGAAAUGAUUUUUAAAAAAAAAUAAAGAGCAAACUAUGAGGUAGCUCCAGUUCAAAUUUGACCUGAUUCCAACUGAAUCAGCGGGAAUUUGUCUUUUUCACCGGAGGUGGAUCAAAACUUUUUUCACCCAACCAUUUUGUAAAUUGUGCAUUAAAUAUGGCUUAGUAUUUUAGAAAAAUGAUUUGGUCCAAUUGUGCAACAAUUAUUUGAUAGGUCCUUCACAAAAAAACCUCACUUGGGGCACUCGAAAAAUGGAAAAUGGCUCUUUUGUGCAAUGAAAGUGAAAACUCCCCAAAUCAACAUUGUUUGGAAUUCCAAUAUGCACCCUUGUGCACAAUAUGAGAUCAUUUGAACAAACUAUUCCAUGAAUGUGGCCAUAAGAUUGAUCAUUUGGCUUGAAAGCCAUGAAUCUUCACGCUUGAUAACUCAUUUCUGAGAAUAAUUUUUUAAAAUAAUUACCGUAUUACAAGUUUAUUAUUUUUCCUAGAAACUUGGUCACAUAUAAUGACACAAUGCGAAGGUUUUCCAUUGUUUUGAUUUUUUUUGAAUUUUUUAUGCUCGUUUCAAAAUGCUGUCAAAACGGCGGGCUUGACCGUUCCUAGCUAGUGGUUGAAUCUUGGAAUUUUUUUGGUGUUUCUCUGAUUAAAUAGAUACUUAUUUACCUAGAAAUAAUUUUUGGAAAAAAUAAAGAGCAAACUAUGAGGCAGCUACAGUUCAAAUUUGACCCGUUUCCAACUGAAUCGACGGCAAUUUGUCUUUUUCACCAGAGGUGGAUCAAAACUUUUUUCACCCAACCAUUUUGUCAAUUGUGCAUUAUAUAUGGCCUACUAUUUUAUAAAAUUGAUUUGGUCCAUUUUUGCAACAAUUAUUUGGUAGUUCCUUCACAAAAAACCUCACUUGGGGCAAUCGAAAAAUGGAAAAUGGCUCUUUUGUGCAAUGAAAGUGAAAACUCCCCAAAUCAACAUUGUUUGGAAUUCCAGUAUGCACCCUUGUGAACAAUAUGAGAUCAUUUGCACAAACUAUUCCAUGAAUGUGGCCAUAAGAUUGAUCAUUUGGCUUCAAAGCCAUGAAUCUUCACGCUUGAUAACUCAUUUCUGAGGACACUUUUUUUAAAAUAAUUACCGUAUUACAAUUUUAUUAUUUUUCCUGGAAACUUGGUCACAUAUAAUGACACAAUGCGAAGGUUUUCCAUUUUUUUGAUUUUUUUUGAAUUUUUUAUGCCCGUUUCAAAAUGCAGUCAAAACGGCGGGCUUGACCGUUCCUAGCUAGUGGUUGAAUCUUGGAAUUUUUUUGGUGUUACUCUGAUUAAAUAGAUAAUUAUUUACCUAGAAAUGAUUUUUUUUUAAUAAAGAGAAAACUAUGAGGUAGCUGCAGUUCAAAUUUGACCCGCUUCCAACUGAAUCAGCGGGAAUUUGUCUUUUUCACCGGAGGUGGAUCAAAACUUGUUUCACCCAACCAUUUUGUCAAUUGUGCAUUAAAUAUGGCCUAGUAUUCUAGAAAAAUGAUUUGGUCCAAUUGUGCAACAAUUAUUUGGUAGGUCCUUCUCAAAAAAACCUCACUCGGGGCACUCGAAAAAUGGAAAAUGGCUCUUUUGUGCAAUGAAAGUGAAAACUCCCCAAAUCAAUAUUGUUUGGAAUUCCAAUAUGCACCCUUGUGCACAAUAUGAGAUCAUUUGAACAAACUAUUCCAUGAAUGUGGCCAUAAGAUUGAUCAUUUGGCUUGAAAGCCAUGAAUCUUCACGCUUGAUAGCUCAUUUCUAAGGACACUUUUUUUUUAAAUAAUUACCUUAUUACAAGUUUAUAAUUUUUCCUGGAAACUUGGUCACAUAUAAUGACACAAUGCAAAGGUUUUUCCUUUUUUUUGAUUUUUUUUGAAUUUUUUAUGCCUGUUUCAGAAUGCGGUCAAAACGGCAGGCUUGACCGUUCCUAGCUAGUGGUUGAAUCUUGGAAUUUUUUUGGUGUUUCUAUGAUUAAAUAGAUACUUAUUUACCUAGAAAUGAUUUUUGGAAAAAAUAAAGAGCAAACUAUGAGGCAGCUACAGUUCAAAUUUGACCCGUUUCCAGCUGAAUCGACGGCAAUUUGUCUUUUUCACCACAGGUGGAUCCAAACUUUUUUCACCCAACCAUUUUGUAAAUUGUGCAUUAUAUAUGGCCUAGUAUUUUAUAAAAUUGAUUUGGUCCAUUUUUGCAACAAUUAUUUGGUAGUUCCUUCACAAAAAAACCUCACUUGGGGCACUCACUACUUGGAAAAUGGCUAUAGAUGGGAUGGACACUAAUGGCGCACUGUACAUGUGGUGCGCCAUUACUAAAUACUAAUGGCGCACCAUGUGUUGGUGCGCCAUUAGUGUGCAAAUACUAAUGGCACACCACAUCCCACGAUGCGCCAUUAGUAAAAAAAAAUUAAUUUUUUUUCAAAACAACUAAUGGCGCACGUCGGGUGUGGUGCGCCAUUACUAUGUUGACAUAGUAAUGGUGCACCAACCCCACCGUGCACCAUUAGUAGUUUUGAAAAAAAAAAUUUGUUAGUAAUGGCGCACCUGUGGACAGUGGGUGUGGUGCGCCAUUAGUAGUUUAACUAUCAAUGGCGCACGACCCCACGGCGCGCCAUUACUAACAUGGCCCAAAAGUUCCCGGAUGCACCACCCCCCCCCCCGGUGGAUCGCCUUUUCAGUUUAAAAAAAAUAAAAGAAAAUGAUGGAAAUGUCAAAAAAAUAAAAGAAAAUAAGUUUCCCAUGUGAUAUGUGGUCUAGUUGUUGGGAAAAUUUACAAAUAUGAAUUUCGACUUUAUUUGCAAAAUCUCUCUGGAAAUUUGUAAAAUGGGCAUAACUUUUGCAUANNNNNNNNNNNNCACCUGUGGACAGUGGGUGUGGUGCGCCAUUAGUAGUUUAACUAUCAAUGGCGCACCACCCCACGGUGCGCCAUUACUAACAUGGCCCAAAAGUUCCCGAAUGCACCCCCCUUGUGGAUCGCCUUUUCAGUUUUAAAAAAAAUAAAAGAAAAUGAUGGAAAUGUCAAAAAAAUAAAAGAAAAUAAGUUUCCCAUGUGAUAUGUGGUCUAGUUGUUGGGAAAAUUUACAAAUAUGAAUUUCGACUUUAUUUGCAAAAUCUCUCUGGAAAUUUGUAAAAUGGGCAUAACUUUUGCAUACGAACUCGGAUGAAAAAGUUUUUUAUAUGAAAAAUCAUCUACUCGAAAAGUUACAUCCAAAUUUAACCAGGGGAACCCCGUUAAAUAUCUUUAAAAUCCCGAAAAACCUAACAAAAAAAAAGUUACGGGGCUUUCAAGAUCUAGAGGCAAAAAAAUUCAAAAAAAUUCAAACUUACUAGUGGCGCACCGUGGAUGUGGUGCGCCACUAGUAAGAGAAAAAGAAAUUGGUUUUGAAAAAAAAUUGAAUUUUUUUUCAAAAAAUGUCACGUAAUAUGACCGGGAAGUUUGAAAUAUUUUUCAAAAUUUCAUCAUAGUCAUGAACAUGAACAAAGUCCUAGACAUCAACAAGGUAUAAUAGGAUUGAUAUGCUAGAUAUAUCAACAAGUGCCUGUGAAGUGAGCUGUUGCUGGGGUUGGAUAAUACUCUGAAGUUAAGCGUGCUUCGGCUGGAGUAGUGUGAGGAUGGUGACCUUUCGGGAAGUUUGACCACGGAGUGCGAUUUGACUUGAGAUCAAGCAUAUUGACCCGAGAUUAAGCCAUAGUGAACUGAGAUUAAGAAAAAAACGAAAAAAAAUUUGCAAAAAAAAAUAAAAAAAGUAGAAAAAAAAUUGAUUUUUUUUGAAAAAAUAUUGUUACUAAUGGCACACUUCUAUGUGGUGCGCCAUUAGUAUACCAGAUACUAAUGGCGCACCGUGGGCUAUUCUAAUGGCGCACCAGCGGGUGCGCCAUUAGUAUGCCAGAUACUAAUGGCGCACCACAGGUGCGCCAUUAGAAAAAAAAUCUAAUGGCGUGGUGCUAGUGGCGCACCUUUAGUUCGCUAUUAGUAGCGAAAACAGGUGCGCCACUAGCAGCCCUUUUUGUAGUAGUGACUCGAAAAAUGGAAAAUGGCUCUUUUGUGCAAUGAAAGUGAAAACUCCCCAAAUCAACAUUGUUUGGAAUUCCAAUAUGCACCCUUGUGCACAAUAUGAGAUCAUUUGAACAAACUAUUCCAUUAAUGUCGCCAUAAGAUUGAUCAUUUGGCUUGAAAGCCAUGAAUCUUCACGCUUGAUAGCUCAUUUCUGAGAACACUUUUUUUAAAUAAUUACUGUAUUACAAGUUUAUUAUUUUUCCUGGAAACUUGGUCACAUAUAAUGUCACAAUGCGAAGGUUUUCCAUUUUUUUGAAUUUUUUUGAAUUUUUUAUGCCCGUUUCAAAAUGCGGUCAAAACGGCGGGCUUGACCGUUCCUAGCUAGUGGUUGAAUCUUGGAAUUUUUUUGGUGUUUCUAUCAUUAAAUAGAUACUUAUUUACCUAGAAAUGAUUUUUGCAAAAAAUAAAGAGCAAACUAUGAGGCAGCUACAGUUCAAAUUUGACCCGUUUCCAGCUAAAUCGACGGCAAUUUGUCUUUUUCACCAAAGGUGGAUCAAAACUUUUUUCACCCAAUGAUUUGGUCCAUUUUUGCAACAAUUAUUUGGUAGUUCCUUCACAAAAAAACCUCCUUCUGGGCACUCGGAAAAUGAAAAAUGAAUUUUCCGUGCAAAGAAAGUGAAAACUCUCUUAGACAACAUUGUUUGGAAUUCCAAGAAGCACCUCGUGCAAAUAUUUGAUAGCUUCUUCACAAAAAAAUUCAUUUUGGACACUCAAAACAUAAAAAUUAAAAUGCUGACAUGAUUUUACACUUUAUUUUUAUUUGACCACAACCAAUUUUGAAUGGUCAUAACGUCCAAUACUAAAUGGUCAUAACGUUAUACACGCGUACUGCGUUCUGAUUGGGCCAUAGCCAUCUCACGCGGAUCAUGCGUCAAGCACCGUUGGAUGCUCGUGGAUCCAACGGUAGCCCUCGCCCCCCCACCCUCUCACCCACCUAGCCCUAACACAAGCCCCACGCCCCCACUUCUCCACCUUCUCCACCUUCUCUCCCUCUCUCCNNNNNNNNNNNNNNNNNNNNNNNNNNNNNNNNNNNNNNNNNNNNNNNNNNNNNNNNNNNNNNNNNNNNNNNNNNNNNNNNNNNNNNNNNNNNNNNNNNNNNNNNNNCCCACCGCCCCCUUCCUCCUCACCCACUGCCCCGACCUCUGCUCCGCUCCGCUCCGGGAUCCAUCCACCGACCCAGGCCGUCGUCAUCCUAGGGUUUCGGCGCCCGCACCUCGCCCCUGCCUCUCCACCCACAUGGCCACACCCUACCUCCCCUUCGUCGCAGACCUAGACCUCGACAACUUCGGUGCAUCCAUGCCGCAGCCCCGCGGCUCCUCAUCGUCCUCAUCUUCCUCCUCUCCCUGUCUGUCGUUCCCCCAAAUCAGUCGCUGUCGCCGCCACCGGCGAGCUCGUCCCCCUCAAAUCUCCCGCCGCCAACGGCCUUUCCUUGUCUCCCAGGCUGCAGAUCGAGUCGACAAAGUCAGGUUGCGGCCAGAUCUGCCAGGCUCGGGACGGGAGAGACGGAGAGGAAGAGUGGUACGCCACCACCACGCCAUCGUCGAGCUCCAUCCGUCUAGCACCUCCGCCAUGGAGACGGAGACAGAGACGGAGAUGGAGCUCUUCUCCCCUUCCCAACCACGCAGCGCAACGUANNNNNNNNNNNNNNNNNNNNNNNNNNNNNNNNNNNNNNNNNNNNNNNNNNNNNNNNNNNNNNNNNNNNNNNNNNNNNNNNNNNNNNNNNNNNNNNNNNNNNNNNNNNNNNNNNNNNNNNNNNNNNNNNNNNNNNNNNNNNNNNNNNNNNNNNNNNNNNNNNNNNNNNNNNNNNNNNNNNNNNNNNNNNNNNNNNNNNNNNNNNNNNNNNNNNNNNNNNNNNNNNNNNNNNNNNNNNNNNNNUUCUCCUGGAUUUGUUGGUCUGACCCGUGCGGUUGUUUUGUGCAGGUCAUCACCAUGGAACGUGUGAAGGAGGAGCACCAUCCCCAUGGCCAUGGCCAUGGAAGGCCCUUCCUUCCUUCCUUCUGUCCCUCUCUCUGUGGAGGCCAUGGUCAGGUCAAUCUCUUCCCCCUUUCUAGAUCUCUCCUCUGCCAUACUUUGCUGCUGCUGCUGCUGCGAGAUCCAUAACAAAUAUCAAGGGGUUUGCAUAUUUUCUUAAUCUGAACCAUAACACAUCCAUUGUUUGUGUGGUUUCCAUCCAUCUCAUAUCAUAUCCAUGUCUUUGUCUUGUGCCAAGGGAAGGCCGACCAUUGCGGGCCGGCAGAGGAGAGUGGACUUGAUCAUGAAGUCGCUCUCGUGGUCCAAGGCGGCGUCGGUCACGGAGACGGCCAUCCGCGCCGCUGUUGGCGACAAUGUUGUAACUAGAAAGGCUAUGCGCUGGUGAGUAGGACACUUCCGCUAAUCCAACUAUCAUCUCUGAAGAUGUUCUGAAAUUUGUUGGCUGACUCUCUGUUUGGAAUUCGCAGGUUGCCGAAGCAGAAGAGAGGGUUGCGUCGUGCGGGCACUGGUGGCCGCCCGGAUCCGUAUGUGUACAUGGUACGUGAAAUCUGUGCCACACAGUUUGCGUUUGGAUGAUGAUUUGAUUUCUGAAAGUAGCUAAAUGUAAGCUAUGACUGAAUCAGUAUAACUGAGAGUCAGUGUCCAACUUCUAGAUGGAGUUAGGGAGUUGUUACUUAUUGGAGUAGUAAUUUCUGGUUAUUCAGUAGAGAGUAAGUAGAAUCUGAAAGCAAUUGUUAAAUCUUAUUAAUUUAUCCUAGUUCCACUCACAACCUUAGUUCUAUAAUUCUGGAAGCAAGUUGAAUCCUGAACACUGCACAUUUCAGCCUUGUCCAUAACUGUUAUUUCUUGGAUAAACAUUUUUGCAAGGGAUGAUGAUUGUAUUCAGGUUACAGUACACUUCAAGCAGCAUAUCUGCAUCUGGCAUCUCGCUAUCUUUGUCACUUGCAAGAGAUGCACAAUUGUUUAACAGUAGUUGGAUGCCGUCACAGUUUUAUACACUAUUGGCAAUAACUGAAUUGAAGUUUAUUUUAAAGUUAACAGCCCGAUGGUACCAAUGGGCUUAAGAAAAUUUACUUGUAAAGGAACAAUGGCAGUAUAAUGAGAAAAUAACAUAAUUUUUUGCUUGUUUGAGCACUAUAACAGUGCGUACCUACAGAUUGUUAUUGUAUAGGCACCACACUGUUCUGUUACUAUGCUAUAGUAUAUGCUUAAUGACUGAAGCUUCUCAGGCGAGUUGUCUUAGCUGUGUCUUUUAUAUCUUGCUAUUGAUUAGUAUUCUGUAUGUAUCAUUGUAACCUAUGGUAUGUGAUUAUCAACUGUGAAUUAUUGAGUCGCUGGUUCUUUCAGGCAUUUAGGAAUCUGAUCGAGAAAGUAAUGAGAUGGAAGAGUCAUGGCAGGUGGAAGAGCAUGGAAUCAACUAGCAGGUUUUUGACUCCCUUGGUUUUCUGCAAUUCCAUCAUAGUAUUGUGGCCGAAUGCAUUCCAUCUCACUGACAUAAUAUGUGCCAUUUUUAGCUACCGUAGAGAGGAACUUCUCGAGUUCUUCAAGUUACUGAUUUGUUGUACUGAUUCUCCAAGUUACUCCAUUCAAACAAAUGUGUUGAUCUGAUCUGCUAUAGUAGGUGAUGUUAAUCUUGCUGCUGUAGUAGUUGUUGAUCUGAUCUGAUCUGAUCUGAUCUGCUGUAGUAGUUGUUGAUCUAAUUUGCUGUAGUUGCUGUUGAUUUGGAGUAGUUAAUGUUGCUGAUAUUAUAUGUUGUACUUGGAUCUGAUCUGAUCUACUAUAGUUUUUGUUAAUCUGAUAUGCUGUAGUUUCUGUUGAUUUGGAGUAGUUAAUGUUGCUGAUAUUAUAUGUUGUACUGUUGCUAAUCGGAUCUGCUGUUGCUAUUGCAGUAAUGCUGGAUCAGCUGCUGCUGCUCACUACAGGAUCUGGUUAUCAACCUGAGAUGUUGCUGCUCAAGUCAUGGCGACGACCAGCGAUGCUGUGCUGAGCUGAUCCAACCUGGGAUGAUGCUGAUGAUCUGCUGCUCAACAAGGUGAUGCUGCUUCGUUCAGCCUCUACGAACAUUUACAAGAGCUCUAGCCUGGAAGAAAAAGUCAGAAGUAUAUUUGUAGUAUCAUAGUAUCUUGGUGAAAUGAAUGAUGUAAAGAUUGUGCUAUUACAAGAGCUCUAACCUGGGACAACCUGAGAAGUAUAUUUGUAGUAUUUUGGCUAAUUGGCAUGUGUUUUGAUAAUUUUCACUUGUUUACUGUUCUCAUUGAAAUAAUUGUUUCAAAUUGUGGAAGUUGAAACCUGGGCCGUUG